GCCUCGUUGGUGUAGUGGUAGUACCACGCGUCCCAGGUAUGGAUGAAAACGCGGGUUCGACUCCCGUUUGAGGUU